rnacentral:rRNA from 1 species
GACGUAGGAUGCAAGCGUUGUCCGGAAUUAUUGGGCGUAAAGCGUUCGUAGGCGGUACGUUAAGUCUAGUGUUAAAGCCCGGGGCUCAACUCCGGAUCGGCACUGGAUACUGGCGAACUAGAGUGCGGUAGAGGCAAGGGGAAUUCCAGGUGUAGCGGUGAAAUGCGUAGAUAUCUGGAGGAACACCAGUGGCGUAAGCGCCUUGCUGGGCCGUAACUGACGCUGAGGAACGAAAGCCGGGGGAGCAAAUGGG